rnacentral:rRNA from 1 species
UACGAAGGGGGCUAGCGUUGCUCGGAAUCACUGGGCGUAAAGCGCACGUAGGCGGAUCUUUAAGUCAGGGGUGAAAUCCUGGAGCUCAACUCCAGAACUGCCCCUUGAUACUGGCGGUCUCGAGUCCGGGAAGAGGUGAGUGGAACUGCGAGUGUAGAGGUGAAAUUCGUAGAUAUUCGCAAGAACACCAGUGGCGGAAGGCGCUCACUGGCCCGGUCUGACG